rnacentral:rRNA from 1 species
AGAGUUUGAUCCUGGCUCAGGAUGAACGCUGGCGGCAUGCCUAACACAUGCAAGUCGAACGAGGGCAGCAAUGCCCGAGUGGCGGACGGGUGAGUAACGCGUGAACAAUCUGCCUAUGUCAGGGGAAUAACACAGAGAAAUUUGUGCUAAUACCGCAUAAGACCACGGAGGGGCAUCCCUUUGGGGUAAAAGAUUUAUCGGACAUAGAUGAGUUCGCGUCCCAUUAGGUAGUUGGUGAGGUAACGG